rnacentral:rRNA from 1 species
AGUGAACGCUGGCGGUAGGCCUAACACAUGCAAGUCGAACGGCAGCACAGGAGAGCUUGCUCUCUGGGUGGCGAGUGGCGGACGGGUGAGGAAUACAUCGGAAUCUACUCUGUCGUGGGGGAUAACGUAGGGAAACUCACGCUAAUACCGCAUACGACCUACGGGUGAAAGCAGGGGACCUUCGGGCCUUGCGCGAUUGAAUGAGCCGAUGUCGGAAUAGCUAGUUGGCGGGGUAAAGGCCCACCAAGGCGACGAUCCGUAGCUGGUCUGAGAGGAUGAUCAGCCACACUGGAACUGAGACACGGUCCAGACUCCUACGGGAGGCAGCAGUGGGGAAUAUUGGACAAUGGGCGCAAGCCUGAUCCAGCCAUACCGCGUGGGUGAAGAAGGCCUUCGGGUUGUAAAGCCCUUUUGUUGGGAAAGAAACCCAGCUGGCUAAUACCCGGUUGGGAUGACGGUACCCAAAGAAUAAGCACCGGCUAACUUCGUGCCAGCCGCCGCGGUAA